rnacentral:rRNA from 1 species
AUGGGCGCAAGCCUGAUCCAGCAAUGCCGCGUGCAGGAUGAAGGCCUUCGGGUUGUAAACUGCUUUUGUACGGAACGAAAAGCUUUGGGCUAAUACCCUGGAGUCAUGACGGUACCGUAAGAAUAAGCACCGGCUAACUACGUGCCAGCAGCCGCGGUAAUACGUAGGGUGCAAGCGUUAAUCGGAAUUACUGGGCGUAAAGCGUGCGCAGGCGGUUUUGUAAGACAGAGGUGAAAUCCCCGGGCUCAACCUGGGAACUGCCUUUGUGACUGCAAGGCUAGAGUACGGCAGAGGGGGAUGGAAUUCCGCGUGUAGCAGUGAAAUGCGUAGAUAUGCGGAGGAACACCGAUGGCGAAGGCAAUCCCCUGGGCCUGUACUGACGCUCAUGCACGAAAGCGUGGGGAGCAAACAGGAUUAGAUACCCUGGUAGUCCACGCCCUAAACGAUGUCAACUGGUUGUUGGGUCUUAACUGACUCAGUAACGAAGCUAACGCGUGAAGUUGACCGCCUGGGGAGUACG